rnacentral:rRNA from 1 species
CUACGGGUGGCACCAGUGGGGAAUAUUGGACAAUGGGGGAAACCCUGAUCCAGCAAUGCCGCGUGUGUGAAGAAGGCCUGCGGGUUGUAAAGCACUUUCGGUUGGGAGGACUGCUUCUAGCACUAAUAUUGUUGGAAGUUGACGUUACCUUCAGAAGAAGCACCGGCUAACUCCGUGCCAGCAGCCGCGGUAAUAGCGGAGGGUGCAAGCGUUAAUCGGAAUUACUGGGCGUAAAGCGCGCGUAGGCGGCUAGAUCAGUCGGGUGUGAAAGCCCCGGGCUUAACCUGGGAACUGCAUCCGAUACUGUCUAGCUUGAGUACAGGAGAGGAGAGUGGAAUUCCACAUGUAGCGGUGAAAUGCGUAGAUAUGUGGAGGAACACCAAUGGCGAAGGCAGCUCUCUGGCCUGAUACUGACGCUGAGGUGCGAAAGCGUGGGGAGCAAACAGGAUUAGAUACCCGGGUAGUC